AAAAUGGCAGUUUUGAUGGACAAAUAUAUGUUAAAUUUAUGGAAAACAAAAAACAAAUUGUGAAAAUAACUUAGAGCUAAUUUUGCUAGAAACAUAUAACCUAUUAGAUGGGAUGAAACACCCGUAAUGUAUGUAUUUGAUUUAAAAUGACAUAUACUUAUACAUAUUACUUAGCUACUCAAUGCAUUUGUUUAACAUAGUAGCCUUCUCAAGGUGACUAUGUAUACAACACCAAAUCAACACAAGUAGAAUAAUUUAAAUUUAUUUUAUACAUCAUUUUAAAAAUUAAAUAUAUGUCUUGAACACUAAACCAAGGAAAUAUGCAAUUUUUUUAUGAAUAAUUAUAAUGACCUAAAUUAUAAUGUAUUGAUAUUGAGUUUUUUAAAAUCUGAAAUUCUAAAAAAAGAGGCAUUGAUAUCAUAAUAUGUUGUUUAGAAAAAUAUACAAUGAAAAAAAGAAAUAAAGAAAAUGGCAGUUUUUAUGGACAAAUAUAUGUUAAAUUUAUGGAAAAAAAAAAACAAAUUGUGAAAAUAACUUAGAGCUAAUUUUGCUAGAAACAUAUAACCUAACUCAAUGCAUUUGUUUAACAUAGUAGUCUUCUCAAGGUGACUAUGUAUACUACACCAAAUAA
rnacentral:lncRNA from 1 species